rnacentral:rRNA from 1 species
UACGUAGGGUGCGAGCGUUAAUUGGAAUUACUGGGCGUAAAGGGUGCGCAGGCGGCCAUGCAAGUCGAGUGUGAAAGCCCCGGGCUUAACUUGGGAAUUGCGCUCGGAACUACGUGGCUGGAGUGUGGCAGAGGAAGGUGGAAUUCCACGUGUAGCGGUGAAAUGCGUAGAGAUGUGGAGGAACACCAAUGGCGAAGGCAGCCUUCUGGGCCAACACUGACGCUCAUGCACGAAAGCGUGGGGAGCAAACAGG